GAUGAACGCUGGCGGCGUGCCUAAUACAUGCAAGUCGAGCGAAUGGAUUAAGAGCUUGCUCUUAUGAAGUUAGCGGCGGACGGGUGAGUAACACGUGGGUAACCUGCCAAUAAGACUGGGAUAACUCCGGGAAACCGGGGCUAAUACCGGAUAACAUUUUGAACCGCAUGGUUCGAAAUUGAAAGGCGGCUUCGGCUGUCACUUAUGGAUGGACCCGCCUCGCAUUAGCUAGUUGGUGAGGUAACGGCUCACCAAGGCAACGAUGCGUAGCCGACCUGAGAGGGUGAUCGGCCACACUGGGACUGAGACACGGCCCAGACUCCUACGGGAGGCAGCAGUAGGGAAUCUUCCGCAAUGGACGAAAGUCUGACGGAGCAACGCCGCGUGAGUGAUGAAGGCUUUCGGGUCGUAAAACUUUGUUGUUAGGGAAGAACAAGUGCUAGUUGAAUAAGCUGGCACCUUGACGGUACCUAACCAGAAAGCCACGGCUAACUACGUGCCAGCCGCCGCCGUAA
rnacentral:rRNA from 1 species